UACGUAGGGUCCGAGCGUUGUCCGGAAUUAUUGGGCGUAAAGGGCUCGUAGGCGGUCCGUCGCGUCGGGAGUGAAAACUCGGAGCUUAACUCCGAGCCUGCUUCCGAUACGGGCAGACUAGAGGUAGGCAGGGGAGAGCGGAACUCCUGGUGUAGCGGUGGAAUGCGCAGAUAUCAGGAAGAACACCGGUGGCGAAGGCGGCUCUCUGGGCCACUACUGACGCUGAGAAGCGAAAGCAUGGGGAGCGAACAGG
rnacentral:rRNA from 1 species